rnacentral:tRNA from 1 species
GGGUCGGUAGCUCAACAUGGUAGAGCAGCGGACUUUUAAUCCGUUUGUUGAGGGCAGCAGACUCAUCUCGGUCCU